GGGUCAGUAGGUUGGUCGUGCCACCGGUACGUACUGGUCUCACUGAUUCCUCCUUCCUGAAGAACCGUAAUGCCAUUAAUUUGGUGGUGCGGGGAAACAGGACUGUUACUUUGAAAAAAUUAGAGUGUUUAAAGCAAGCUAACGCUUGAAUACAUUAGCAUGGAAUAAUGAAAUAGGACGAUCGAUCCUAUUUUGUUGGUUUCUAGGAUUGACGUA
rnacentral:rRNA from 1 species